AUUUAUAUAGUUUAACUUAAAACACUUCAUUUUCAAUGAAUAAAUGAACAUUUUAGUUCUAUAAAUG
rnacentral:tRNA from 1 species